GUCAGCACCAUCUCCAUGGCCAGAGACUUGCCCACCGCACGGGUCAGACGCUGGGUGCCCCCUGCCCCUGUAGCAAGACAAGACAUCAUGAGCUGAGCGCAACGAAGAGAAGUUUGCAGAGCUGGUGAUCGACGUAGCUUAACUUGACAUUGAUUGUCGUUUAAAACACUCACCCGAGCUGCACAGGCGGACGGCAGUCGAGAGCAAGGCGGGUGUUGCUCGGCUCAAUUUCAGCAGUGCGGCAGCAUUUCUGCAAACAAA